rnacentral:rRNA from 1 species
UACGUAGAGGGCGAGCGUUGUCCGGAGUUACUGGGCGUAAAGCGCACGUAGGCGGAUCGUUAAGUCGGGGGUGAAAUCCUGGAGCUCAACUCCAGAACUGCCUUCGAUACUGGCGAUCUCGAGUCCGGAAGAGGUGAGUGGAACUCCUAGUGUAGAGGUGGAAUUCGUAGAUAUUAGGAAGAACACCAGUGGCGAAGGCGGCUCACUGGUCCGGUACUGACGCUGAGGUGCGAAAGCGUGGGGAGCAAACAGG